rnacentral:rRNA from 1 species
AUUGAACGCUGGCGGCAUGCUUUACACAUGCAAGUCGGACGGCAGCGGGGUAGUGCUUGCACUACUGCCGGCGAGUGGCGAACGGGUGAGUAAUAUAUUGGAACGUACCGAGUAAUGGGGGAUAACCAAUCGAAAGAUUGGCUAAUACCGCAUACGCUCUGAGGAGGAAAGCAGGGGACCUUCGGGCCUUGCGUUAUUCGAGCGGCCAAUAUCUGAUUAGCUAGUUGGUGGGGUAAGGGCCUACCAAGGCGACGAUCAGUAGCGGGUCUGAGAGGAUGAUCCGCCACACUGGGACUGAGACACGGCCCAGACUCCUACGGGGGGCAGCAGUGGGGAAUUUUGGACAAUGGGCGCAAGCCUGAUCCAGCCAUGCCGCGUGUCUGAAGAAGGCCUUCGGGUUGUAAAGGACUUUUGUUAGGGAAGAAAAAGGAGCGGUUAAUACCCGUUUCUGCUGACGGUACCUAAAGAAUAAGCACCGGCUAACUACGUG